rnacentral:rRNA from 1 species
GACGUAGGGCGCGAGCGUUGUCCGGAUUUAUUGGGCGUAAAGAGCUCGUAGGCGGUUUGUCGCGUCUGCUGUGAAAACCUAAGGCUCAACCUUGGGCUUGCAGUGGGUACGGGCAGACUAGAGUGCGGUAGGGGUGACUGGAAUUCCUGGUGUAGCGGUGGAAUGCGCAGAUAUCAGGAGGAACACCGAUGGCGAAGGCAGGUCACUGGGCCGCAACUGACGCUGGAGGAGCGAAAGCAUGGGGAGCGAACAGG